rnacentral:lncRNA from 1 species
GUAUUUGUUAGGAUGUGCUGUCUAUGUUUUGUCUUUUUGCUACAACCUUUUUGUCUAGCUAGUGAGCCAGAUUUGACAUGGAAUAUGUGGAUGAAGCUCUAGGGAACUCAUUAGAGGUUUUUCAUGUCAGCAUUUGCCUCCAAAUACAUGAAGUUUAAUCCUAACCUUAGGCUGAGAUUUGUAUCAUGGGACGUGUCGAAGCCUCUGGCUAGAGGCGGCGUGUGGGGAGGGCUCUGGUAGCAGCCCUCGCUUCACCUCAGAGCCUUGCUUUCAGAGGGUGCUACAACCACCUCUUCUUCAAACAUAGCCCUAUCCUCAUGCUCAAACUAAUGCUGUGGGACACCCAUGCUGAGGGUUACACAGGGGGUAUAACACUAACAGCAGCUCUCACCUCACUUCAGCACUCUGAUCCCCGCUCCCCCUUUACAGCCUGGCUGUCCCUGGAAACAGCCCCCCUAACCCACACCACCCCAUUGCUUCCUACGCUGUGGCAUUUUGCACUUUCUUAUUGCGAUUUCCCGGAGGCAUUGAGGGGCACCACUGAGCGUUUUGCCCUUUCUUGUUGUGAUUUCCCAGAGGCGCUGAAGGGCUCGGCUGAGCGCUGAGGGGAGGCUGCUGUGGAACCUUCUGGAGCCGGCAGCGCGCGGGCAGGGCAGCGCGGAUUCUCCUCACGGCGGCCCCUGCAGCCCCGCUGCCAGCACCUCAGUACGGAUGCCCAGUGCAGGGCAAGAUGGAAAUAGGUCAAAAAUACGUUACAGGGGUGACCCCUGGCGGCAUCCUGAUGUUCUCUGGGGAAGAGCCAUGCCGGCGAGUGAAUGCCCAGCUCGAGAGCCCAGGAAGGCAAAGCGCCUUGCCUUCUGUCCUGUGGGGCGGCUGAGGUGUGUGCCUCGGAGUGUGCUUAUCUGCCUUCAUUUCUGCUUAGGGAAUGGCAGAUAUGUCACCGUGACUCACCAGGUGGCACCGAGCCUCGUGCCCGAGAUUUCUUCUUGGAACAGACUGCUGCUCUCCUUAGACUGUAAGAGUUUAAGCAGAUCCUGCUGACAUUCAAAAUGCUUUUCAUUUUUGCUGAAAGGUAUUUUAGAAGGAAGAGAAUAAAAGGAAAAAAAAUAAAUACUAUCUC